UAGAAACUAUUCUAAUUUUUACAUCUUCGAUUCUUUGUAAGUAUCGAGGUUGUAGUUUAGAUGUUUUAUUUUUUUAAAUACUGAAAGAUUAACAAUUUUUUAUGGUUUAUUUUAUGUGGCAGUUCGCAGCCAUCGGCAGUUCCGGUGCCGUUUCAGGUGCGGCAGGAUUUCGGGAUCUCGGUGGAGCUGCGGUCUUGACGGUGACCCGAGGAGGGUUAACACAGAAGUGGUCCCGUUUCAGGAGUUCGGGUCCGCUUAGCUGUGGGCUGUGGACGCCCGUCUGUGUGCACCGUGGAGCCUUCAGGGCUCGGGCCUCGUCCUGGGCCGGCGUGAGGUCGCG
rnacentral:lncRNA from 1 species